rnacentral:rRNA from 1 species
CUCAAUAUUUUGUCCACCCUGAACACGCCCGAUCCCGUCUGAUCUCGGAAGCUGAGCAAGGUCGGGCCUGGUUAGUACUUGGAUGGGAGACUACCUCGGAAGACUGGGUGCCGUAGGAA